GCUUGCGGAAGUUUUAUUGGAAAUCAUCUUUCGUGCGCCAUAUAUACAUGGUGAGUGAUGUAUUCAUGAUCGUGUGGUUCCUCCUCCUGUGAUGUCAGUCUCUGCUCUAGUUCCUUCUCGGCCAUGGGCGCGUCUUCCAGUUCAACCUCGUUCGUUUCUUCCUCCUCCUUGGCGUCCUCUUCCAGGGAAUACGAAGUGUUUCUGAGUUUCAGGGAAGAAGAUACCGGCCAAGGCUUUGGGGGUCACCUCUACACAGCUCUCUGGGAUGCAGGAAUCCGCACUUUCAAGGACGAUGGGGAGAUGGCGGCGGGAGUGAACAGCGAGAGGCUUCUGAAAGCAGCACAGGAGUCAAGGUGCUGCGUGGUCGUCAUAUCCAGCGGAUAUGCGAAUUCAUAUCGGUGUUUGAAGGGACUGACAGCCAUGUUUCGGGCUAAUACGGAGAUCAUCCCCGUCUUCUACAAUGUCGACUCUUACGACGUGCGCAAUCAGAGUGGCCCUUUCGAGUUUGCUUUCACCAAACAUAAACAGAAUCACACCUAUGAAGCUGUUGAGGAAUGGAUGCAUGCGAUGGCCACAGUUGGUAAACUUAAAGGUUUCCAGGUUAAUCACCAGUCGAGUAGGGAGAGACAAGUGAUACAAGAGAUCGUGGAACGAGUGAGCGGGUGCAGAGAUAAUCAGUCGCGUAAUCGUCCUGAAAGAAAUUCCGACUCCCAUGUCCGAGACGUCUCAGAACUUCUAAGUCUUGAGGAAGGAGGCGUUAAAAUGAUCGGAAUUUAUGGGAUGGAAGCUGUGGGGAAGACAACAGCCGUAAGUGAACUACUCGGCGCCGGCGGACUCUCCGGUAGGUUUGAUAAAGUUAUCCACAUAAGGGGCAUCAAGGACAAAGCCAGAAACGAUGGGCUGCACAAAUUACAACGAGAGUUCAUUUCUCCAGCAUUAGAAGGUAACGAGGAAGAAAUUUAUAGCUCCCGUGAGGGGAUCAACGAGAUCCAAAGGCGAUUUCGUCACACGAGGGUACUUGCUAUUCUUGAUGAUGUUGACGACAGAGAGCAAUUGAGAGCAUUAGCUGGUGGACGCGACUGGUUUGGUGAAGGAACGAGGAUCGUCAUCACCGCAAGGGAUGUGCAGAUUCUGGAAGCGCAUCGGGUAGAUAGAAAGUAUGAUGCCCAGGGAUUGAGAUGGAUCAACGAAUCCUCGUCACCACAUGAACUGCCCUCAUCGCUUGAGCGUCAUGGCUGGCACCAAUAUGAAGGAACAGAUCAUCAUUUUCAACGUCAAAGGAACUAUCCUUAAAUGAAAAAAAAGAUGUGGUUUCAUUGCAGACUUUGUGAAGGGUUCUACAGUCCCUUAUUUGCACCUUGUUGUGAGUGUGUAAAUUUUAUGGGGUGUGGGCUUUGCUCCUUGUUGUGAGUGUGUAAAGUUUAUGGAAUGUGGUGUGCGGAAUGGCUGAGUGGAAGCGCUUAGGAAAGUGAAGCAGUUCAAAUAGACCAAAAAUCUCAACCUUUUUGAGGGACAAGAAGAAGGUGGCCGACUUUUAAACAUCUCAAAUCAUUUAAAGAAUCAGACAUGCCAAAUUUAUUUUUGG